UCUUCGUUGGAUCUUGAGUUUGUUAGGAGUUGGAAGAUAAAGAAGAAAGAACCAGCACGAAUCGGAGCCUCACUUUGCAAGAAGGGGUCUAAAGGAGAUAAAUGAUGCUGCAAACUCCAGUCUUCCAGCUGUGUGGAGAAACUGGCUCCCCAGAGAGAAGAUGGGGCCCAUAGGACAUGCUAGCAUGGGGCGUGCUUGGCAAACAGAAGGUCUCAGCUUUCUUCUCCUUUGAGGUCUGACAAUGAAAGAGCACACUUGCUUUGUGAGCUGCUGCUGAGUCGUGACGUCAUGAUACAUGGGAUGCUGUCUAAUUCUCAUUAGAAGGCUACAUACUCGCUUGUUGGACGUAUGCGUGACACGACACAGGCUCUGGGGAGACGACUCUACCACAGAAUCUCAGAGAGGGAAGAGGAGAACACAGCCUAGGGCAUCGUUUUUCCAACCGGCUCGUUUAAGGAUGUAAGGUCUCCUCCAGCCUUAAGUUCUUUAGGAUUUGGUACACACCUAAGUCCCUAACAUCUUUGUAGUGCUGCAUCACGCAGGUGUGUGAUAGAGUCUGGACCACUGACAUCGGAUGAUGGCCCUGGUGGCCCACACGGGACACGCCAUGCUCUCUCUCUGCAGUGGGACUUGGCAGCUCUUCUCAUCAAACAGUGGGAUAUAACCCCCCAGCUCUUGAAUCAAGGAAACUCUUGUGACUUUCUUUGGCCAAUAAAACCCACCAUAUGACAUACCAGUUCUCAAGAGGACAUGCUAAUUUCAGUUCUCUGUCUUGGACCUGUCUCUGCCAUAGAAUAAAACCAGGCUACCCUCCUGGAGGAUGAGAGCUCAUGUGAAAUAGAACUGGGUGACCCUGCUGAGGCCACCUGAGACCAGCCCUCCCACAGUCCACCCUCGGGUGAAGCUGGGAUCCCUGAGCUCAGGCCCGAUCAUCAGAACCUCCCAGCUGACCCACAGACUCAUGAACACAACUCUGGGGUUUUGUGGUGGUUUGUCACCUGGCAUUAUUGUAGUAAUAGGCACUGAUACAGCUACAUAACAGGUACCUUUCCUGCAACUUCUCUCGCCUUCUGAGACUUGGGAUACAACGAGAGCUCUGCAGUUAGCCAGUCGUGUGAUCUGCUGCAGUUUCCUAACCCCUGAGCCUGUAAAACUGGUGAUACAUUAGGACCACAGACAUUCACGCCCAUGGUCAGGACCCUACAAAUGUUACCUAUUCAACACAACACAGCUGCGAGGUCAAAAUUGUAAGUCCACUUUCUGGAUAUCUGGGGCCCAGAGAUAGAAGCCACAUUCAAGGCCACGUCACUGUUGUUAAUUUCAUAUAUGACAGAGAGAAAAAUACACUUGUCCAAACCCAGGAAAGGGCCUAGUGAGACGGAAUUCCCAGGGUAGUGAAAAUGUGGUAAAUCUCAAGGGAUGUCUAGGAUUCUUUGAACCAUAAUUGUGUGGCAAACAAAUGCGUGUUGUCUCUGGAGCUCUGACAUUAGUCCUGCCCGUUUCUGAUCCCAGGAGCAGACACUGAAUUCCUUUUUGACAGUUUCUACGGAGGCAGCCAACAACAGUGCAAAGCGAAAGCUGAUGUGGGGAAAAUCAUGGAACACAAUAAAAGGGAGAUGGGGCUCCAUCAACGGUCACUUGUAUUAGUUUCAAACUGGGAGUGGGGGAUAAGACAAGAAAGGCGGGCCGUGAGGAGGCAAGGGACUUCACUUUGUCUGGAAACCUCCCUCCUGGUUACAGCCAGUGGCCGUGUGGCCACCGAUGUCCUAGGUCAAGGAGCAGGUUUCGGGAUGUUCAGAGCUGCACCUAACAAGGAGGGCUGCAUUAGAAUCACGUGAAAACUGCCAUGGUUCUGGAAAAUCGUUGUGUUGCAUCGGUUUACACAACUGCUGCACCGCUGACGAGUAACUGCCUGGCCCGGGGGCUCUGACCGGACGACGGGGUGAUUCAGUGGGACGUGAUUUUCUGACCACGGAAGUGCCACACCACGCACACUGCCGACUGGCUGGGUUUUCUGCUCUGAGAACAGAUUCCAGAGCAAACACUGGCUGGGGGCUCCCUACGUGCCCCAUGUGCUCCCAGCUACCUUACACAGAGUUAGUCCUCUUCCCUGCUAACGGUCUUUGAGUUGGGCAUUGUCACUGUCCUCGUUACACAGAUGGGGAACCUGAGCAUGUGGGGACAUGGACAGUGAGUGGCCAUGCCCGGAUUCCAGCCCAGAAAGUCUGGUUUCAAGCUAUAUGCCUGUUGACAGUGUUAACUGGGCUUUUAUAACCAUGCUUUAAUUUUUAUUGUCACCAUCUGAGGAACGUGUUGUGUAGAGUGGGGAGCGUGAACAGCCCUUUCACACAGGGCAGAAAGUGGGGGGACACGG